rnacentral:ncRNA from 1 species
UCAGCAGGUGCCUGUGGAAAGCACAGGAGAAUAGGGAAAUAAGUGAGAGUCUUAUACGGUCCCGCCACUGUAACGCAGGAGCAGUUUUUCAUGCCACUGUAGCCGAAAGCUAUGGGAAGGGAAAUUCUGUGAUGACAGCGAAGUCAGGAGACCUGCCUGCCGGUAU